rnacentral:rRNA from 1 species
AUUGAACGCUGGCGGCAUGCUUUACACAUGCAAGUCGAACGGUAACAGGCCGCAAGGUGCUGACGAGUGGCGAACGGGUGAGUAAUGCAUCGGAACGUGCCCAGUCGUGGGGGAUAACGCAGCGAAAGCUGCGCUAAUACCGCAUACGAUCUAUGGAUGAAAGCGGGGGACCGUAAGGCCUCGCGCGAUUGGAGGGGCCGAUGUCAGGUUAGGUAGUUGGUGGGGUAAAGGGUCACCAAGCCAACGAUCUGUAGCUGGUCUGAGAGGACGACCAGCCUCACUGGGACUUAGACACGGACCAGUUUCCUACGGGGGGCAGCAGUGGGGAAUUUUGAACAAUGGGCGCAAGCCUGAUCCAGCAAUGCCGCGUGCAGGAAGGAGGCCUUCGGGUUGUAAACUGCUUUUGUACGGAACGAAACGGUCCUGGUUAAUACCCGGGGCUAAUGACGGUACCGUAAGAAUAAGCACCGGCUAACUACGUGCCAGCCGCCGCCGUAAGAC